UACGAGGGGUGCAAGCGUUGCCCGGAAUUAUUGGGCGUAAAGGGUUGGUAGGUGGUCUUGUUUGUCUGAGGUGAAAUCCCGGGGCUUAACUCCGGAAGUGCCUUAGAAACGGCAAGACUAGAGUCCUGGAGGGGUUUGUGGAAUUCCCGGUGUAGCGGUGAAAUGCGUAGAGAUCGGGAGGAACACCAGCAGCGAAGGCGGCAAACUGGAUAGGCACUGACACUGAACAACGAAAGCGUGGGUAGCAAACAGG
rnacentral:rRNA from 1 species